UACGGAGGGGGCUAGCGUUGUUCGGAAUUACUGGGCGUAAAGCGCGCGUAGGCGGCUUUGUAAGUUAGAGGUGAAAGCCCAGGGCUCAACCCUGGAAUUGCCUUUAAGACUGCAUCGCUUGAACAUCGGAGAGGUAAGCGGAAUUCCGAGUGUAGAGGUGAAAUUCGUAGAUAUUCGGAAGAACACCAGUGGCGAAGGCGACUUACUGGACGAUUGUUGACGCUGAGGUGCGAAAGCGUGGGGAGCAAACAGG
rnacentral:rRNA from 1 species